UACGUAGGUGGCAAGCGUUGUCCGGAUUUACUGGGCGUAAAGGGCGUGCAGGCGGUCUGUUAAGUUCAGGGUGAAAGCUCCCGGCUCAACUGGGAGAGGUCCUUGGAUACUGGCAGACUUGAGGGAGGUAGAGGAGAGUGGAAUUCCCGGUGUAGUGGUGAUAUGCGUAGAUAUUAGGAAGAACACCAGUGGCGAAGGCGGCUCACUGGGCCGAUACUGACGCUGAGGAGCGAAAGCGUGGGGAGCAAACAGG
rnacentral:rRNA from 1 species